GCCGGUAUAGCUCAGCCGGUAGAGCAACUGAUUUGUAAUCAGUAGGUCGGGGGUUCGAAUCCGUCUACCGGCUCCA
rnacentral:tRNA from 4 species